UGGAUGAAAUGAGGUAUGGCUUCAUAACGCGGAUACAGUUCUGUGCUACUUCUGCUCUUCUGUAGACAGUAUUGUGGAUUCUGAUUGUUUAUGAGGUUUUUAACUUGAAGAAUUAGGCUAGAAAUGGUGGGCAUGUGUUGAAUUUUUUUUUUUAAUAUUUACUUAUAAAGGUGGCAUUUCUGGUUUGGGAAUGUGUUGAUGUUAGGGAAGCUGAAGUGGAAGUUGUCCCCUGCUGCCUCAUCUUCCUGGAAUCCAGAAACUGUGUUUUUCCUUGUUUCAUUGGGAUGAUUUGAUUCCGGGAGUAUUUUGAGGGGACCUGGCUGCAGUGUUUGAUAGCUCACGGGCCAGUUAGAAUUUAACUGAGUCAUGGCACUAUAAAUGUUCAGGUACUACAGAGCUUUAUUUGACAAAGAGUGAGGAUCUCAUCUGCCCGUGAGGAGGAAGUAUAGUCGCUUCUGAAAGGAGGUGGUGCAUCCCUGAGUGAACGAUCAAGCAUGGAACUGUUUAGGAAGAAAAUUAACACAUCCUUGGACUCCUGAAGGAAGAGCCUUCCCAAUGGGACCACUUUCAAGUGUGAAAGGAUGGGAUGCAAACCCCUGGGAGACUGACUUCCACAUCCUUGCUGCUUUCAGUAGUGGACCAGACAGGCUCAACAAGGUUAUCUGUGCAGAGAGAGGCUCCAUGAAGGGAGGAGAAUAGGGAGUUCCCAGAGUUUGGUUUAACAACUAAUCUAGGAAAGGCAUCCUCAAAGUAAUUAUAGCAUAUAAACAUGUACCUGAGAGAGAGAGAAUAUAAGAAAAGAUUCUGGUCCUGAAAGAGUCUUUUUAAAGGGAUAGCUGUAUGUGUUUCUUCCAACAUGCAAAAAUGGAC
rnacentral:lncRNA from 1 species